GACGAACGCUGGCGGCGUGCUUAACACAUGCAAGUCGAACGGGUCUGCCCUGUUUUUUGCGGGGUGGGUCAGUGGCGAACGGGUGAGUAACACGUGAGUAACCUGCCCCUCACUUCUGGAUAACCGCUUGAAAGGGUGGCUAAUACGGGGUGUUCUGGCUGUGCCGCAUGGUGUGGCUGGGAAAGAUUCACUUUUGUGGUGUUUUGGUGGGGGAUGGGCUCGCGGCCUAUCAGCUUGUUGGUGGGGUGAUGGCCUGCCAAGGCUUUGACGGGUAGUCGGCCUGAGAGGGUGGGCGGUCACACUGGGACUGAGCUACGGCCCCGACUCCUGCGGGAGGCAGCAGUGGGGGGUAUUGCACAAUGGGCGGAAGCCUGAUGCAGCGACGUCGCGUGAGGGAUGGAGGCCUUCGGGUUGUGAACCUCUUUCGCCGGUGAAGAAGGUCCUGCUCUUUGUGGUGGGGUUGACGGUAGCCGGGUUAUGAAGCGCCGGCUAACUACGUG
rnacentral:rRNA from 1 species